rnacentral:rRNA from 1 species
UCUACAGGCUUAACACAUGCAAGUCGAGGGGCAGCAUGGUCUUAGCUUGCUAAGGCCGAUGGCGACCGGCGCACGGGUGAGUAACACGUAUCCAACCUGCCGUCUACUCUUGGACAGCCUUCUGAAAGGAAGAUUAAUACAAGAUGGCAUCAUGAGUCCGCAUGUUCACAUGAUUAAAGGUAUUCCGGUAGACGAUGGGGAUGCGUUCCAUUAGAUAGUAGGCGGGGUAACGGCCCACCUAGUCUUCGAUGGAUAGGGGUUCUGAGAGGAAGGUCCCCCACAUUGGAACUGAGACACGGUCCAAACUCCUACGGGAGGCAGCAGUGAGGAAUAUUGGUCAAUGGGCGAGAGCCUGAACCAGCCAAGUAGCGUGAAGGAUGACUGCCCUAUGGGUUGUAAACUUCUUUUAUAAAGGAAUAAAGUCGGGUAUGGAUACCCGUUUGCAUGUACUUUAUGAAUAAGGAUCGGCUAACUCCGUGCCAGCAGCCGCGGUAAUACGGAGGAUCCGAGCGUUAUCCGGAUUUAUUGGGUUUAAAGGGAGCGUAGAUGGAUGUUUAAGUCAGUUGUGAAAGUUUGCGGCUCAACCGUAAAAUUGCAGUUGAUACUGGAUAUCUUGAGUGCAGUUGAGGCAGGCGGAAUUCGUGGUGUAGCGGUGAAAUGCUUAGAUAUCACGAAGAACUCCGAUUGCGAAGGCAGCCUGCUAAGCUGCAACUGACAUUGAGGCUCGAAAGUGUGGGUAUCAAACAGGAUUAGAUACCCUGGUAGUCCACACGGUAAACGAUGAAUACUCGCUGUUUGCGAUAUACUGCAAGCGGCCAAGCGAAAGCGUUAAGUAUUCCACCUGGGGAGUACGCCGGCAACGGUGAGACUCAAAGGAAUUGACAGGGGCCCGCACAAGCGGAGGAACAUGUGGUUUAAUUCGAUGAUACGCGAGGAACCUUACCCGGGCUUAAAUUGCAGAUGAAUUACGGUGAAAGCCGUAAGCCGCAAGGCAUCUGUGAAGGUGCUGCAUGGUUGUCGUCAGCUCGUGCCGUGAGGUGUCGGCUUAAGUGCCAUAACGAGCGCAACCCUUGUUGUCAGUUACUAACAGGUUCCGCUGAGGACUCUGACAAGACUGCCAUCGUAAGAUGUGAGGAAGGUGGGGAUGACGUCAAAUCAGCACGGCCCUUACGUCCGGGGCUACACACGUGUUACAAUGGGGGGUACAGAGGGCCGCUACCACGCGAGUGGAUGCCAAUCCCCAAAACCUCUCUCAGUUCGGACUGGAGUCUGCAACCCGACUCCACGAAGCUGGAUUCGCUAGUAAUCGCGCAUCAGCCACGGCGCGGUGAAUACGUUCCCGGGCCUUGUACACACCGCCCGUCAAGCCAUGGGAGCCGGGGGUACCUGAAGUGCGUAACCGCGAGGAGCGCCCUAGGGUAAAACUGGUGACUGGGGCU